GUGACUAUACAAAGACUGAAAAACCUUGGAAUAGAAGUAUAUAUCUCCCGGUCGAGAAAACACCAAGAGAAAUAUUCCACCUAUGAUGACGCAUGCAUCCAUAGGCAAUGGAACUAUCAUAAAAGUAGGAAACAAAGUAUUCUCACCGCUGGGCAUUUUAACUUCUUUGUACACAAAUUUGUUUGAAUGAUCGAGCAAUUCCUUUGAAAGGUGGACUCCAAUCACAUAGACUCAUAGAAGUGUAUCUAGAAGCUGAGAGUAUCCUUCACAAGAAAAAAACAGCUGAGACUAUACAAAAAGAAACACACGUGCUGUAUCAAUUUUCUUAACAUACUCCCUGCUGCUCUCCUGAUGAAUAAUAUCCUACUCCAAUCAGUACGUAGCUGCUUCAGCUUGUAUACAAUUGCUUAUCAUCGCAAGUUUCUUUGACAGAAGUUGCAUGGCUCAAGUAGCGAGACAGUCAUCUUCCACCCUCUUGAAAGACAGUUUCCUGGCUCGAACGAACAGUUAACAGUCAUCUUCAACCCGCUAUUUUCUCGUGUCGGACUGUAGAGUUCUAGCAACAAUACACCAUUCGAGAUCUGCAGCUAUUCGCCAGCUCCUAUACCGUCUGUGAGAUCAGUAGAACAAGAAGGAAAACUCACAGACUGUAGAUCGCGAGCCAUGAUUGAAAAUCGAAGCCAGUAUGGAGCCUGUGUGCUUAUCACAUUUCUUCUGUAUGGAGCCAGAAGAGCAGAAACGUCGAGAACUAGAGGAACAAAGAAACUCCCAAGUCUGAGGGCUGCCCAUGUGCCAGGCCGGAAUGGGCUUUGAUCGGAAUUGGCAGCCCAACAUGUCAAUGCGAUUGUAGUUCACUGGCUAAAAUGUGCCCGAAGGGUAGACUCCACCCAAAACACAAGAUGUAAAAGAUGACAAAUUGGAGUUGGGGAAGAUGAAGAAAGAGAGGCCGCAAAGCGAGCGCGCUGCAGAGCUUGCCGUCCAGGUCGCUGGAGCGUCCCGCAUCCUUCUGCUGUAUGCUACUUCUCCACAAGGUAUCUCUCUACUCCCUGACCUUCAUAUAAGUUGGGAAA